GUGAACUCUAUAGAUUCUGCUGGUAUACAGCUACAUCCAGGAGAGAAUGCUGACAGUCCUGCAGAUAUUAGGAUCAAGGAAGAAGAACCUGAUCCUGAAGAGUGGCAGCUCAGUGGUGAUUCUACCUUGAAUACCAAUGACCUAACACACUUAAGAGUACAGGUGGUAGAUGAAGAAGGGGACCAACAACAUCAAGAAGGAAAAAGACUUCGGAGGGUAGCUUGCACCUGUCCCAACUGUAAAGAAGGUGGUGGAAGGUGAGAAGAAAUUUGUUUGUCCAGAAUGUUCAAAACGCUUUAUGAGAAGUGACCACCUUGCCAAACAUAUUAAAACACACCAGAAUAAAAAAGGUAUUCACUCUAGCAGUACAGUGCUGGCAUCUGUGGAAGCUGCGCGAGAUGAUACUUUGAUUACUGCAGGAGGAACAACGCUUAUCCUUGCAAAUAUUCAACAAGGUUCUGUUUCAGGGAUAGGAACUGUUAAUACUUCCGCCACCAGCAAUCAAGAUAUCCUUACCAACACUGAAAUACCUUUACAGCUUGUCACAGUUUCUGGAAAUGAGACAAUGGAGUAAAUAUUACACAAAUACUUAUUCAUUGUGGUUAUUUUUAUACAGUAGUGAGAAGAAUAUUGUUCCUAAGUUCUUAGAUAUCUUUUUAUUGAUGUGCAAAAAUUUUUGGAUUGACAGUAACUUGGUUAUACAUGACACUGAAAUGCCUUACUUUGUAUGAUAUUCCAUAGUAUAUUAAAAAUGGUAAAAUUGCAUGGGUUUUGUAGGUACUUUUGGAAUCUAGAAGAAAUGAAAUUUUACCAAGUUAUAUAAAGAGAAAAUUGAAUUUAACAAUGCGAAUGGUAGUCUAACCAAAUGCAUCAAUCCUGUGUGGUUUAGUGUAAAAAUGAGAACAUGUUGGUAUUUAUCUAUUGUAAGAUAAAAAAGCUGGUGGGUGAAAGAAAUCAUGUUAUGAUAAAAAAUUUUGUAAUUUUCUUGAUGACUGGAAUUUUUAUUAUGCAUAACUGACAAAUCAAGUUUCCAAGCAAAUGUUACAUAGUGUAGGCUUUACUUAGCUUAUCAAUUUGUCAUUUUGAAGCUAAUUAUUUUAAUUAGGUUAACUAUGUACAAUAUUUUAAGCAUUACUCUUGUAAGAUUUUGAAAACUACAUUUUAACAUGGAACUCUAGGGAUAGUCACCUUUUAAAUCCUGUUGAAAAGCCAUGUUUAAGAUUUAAUUUGCCAAAAUAAUGUCUUGUUAAUAUUCUUUCAAUAACGAAGUUGGGCAAUAUAACCAAUGUUUAAAAAAGUUUAAAAUGUAUAAGUUGAGGCAUUUGGGUGGUAAGAGAAUGUUAUAGUGAAUUAUCCCUUUUCUUGACUAUUGGAGGACCAAAAAAAUAAGGUGUAUUGCGUCUUAGCAGUGAUUUUUAUCCAAUCUUGUUUCCAAAAACCAUGUCUCCCAGGGCCUUAAAAGCCAUCAUGUAAAUUACCAGUAAAGUGUAACAUAUGCAAACAUAACAAAAUCACUUCCAUAGUGACGAUACUCCAACCAUAUGGAUAUUAGUCAUAGAAGAACUAGAGGUUUUAUGAUAUUUUUUUAAGUCUUUUUUUUUUUUGUCUAGGUAGUCAGUCUGCACUUAAAUAUCAAUCAUUUUCCUUUUUUGCUUCUUCCCUUAAAAUUUAUAUGUAUCCAGUACAUUUAAUUGAGAAGCGUAUGUUUUUUAUUAUGCUGUAUUUUCUUUUUAUUUUUUAAUUAUUGUUUAUAUUUUCAAUUCAAAAAUGUACAAAAUAAAGUUACAUUGCUGGUCUUGUAAGAGCUAUACAGUUUUCCUAAAUGUAUACCUGUAACUGCAGCAGUUCACCUAUUUCAAAAAUUUGGAAUUCUGUUCAUUUGUUAUUCUUAAGACCACCUCAAAUUUAAAGGCUACCUUAUUGUACGUUUAAAGUGUAUUAUAACAGUGUGGUAGUUAAUAAAACACUAUUUUUUUU
rnacentral:lncRNA from 1 species